rnacentral:rRNA from 1 species
AAUCAACGCUGGCGGCGUGCCUAACACAUGCAAGUCGAACGCGAAAGCCCCGCAAGGGGUAAGUAGAGUGGCAAACGGGUGAGUAACACGUGGGUGACCUGCCUUCGAGUGGGGGAUAACGUCCCGAAAGGGACGCUAAUACCGCAUGACAUCCUGCUUUUGAAAAAGCGGAGAUCAAAGCUGGGGAUCGCAAGACCUAGCGCUUGAAGAGGGGCCCGCGCCUGAUUAGCUAGUUGGGGAGGUAACGGCUCACCAAGGCGACGAUCAGUAUCCGGCCUGAGAGGGCGGACGGACACACUGGGACUGAGACCCGGCCCAGACUCCUACGGGAGGCAGCAGUGGGGAAUUGUGCGCAAUGGGCGCAAGCCUGACGACGCAACGCCGCGUGGAGGACGAAGAUCUUCGGGUCGUAAACUCCUGUCGAGCGGGACGAACGCUUCGCGGAUGAAUAAUCCGCGGAAUUGACGGUACCGCUAAAGGAAGCCCCGGCUAACUCCGUG